GUUUGGCCUCCGGGAGGGCACUGAGGGUAAGCGGCCGCUGAUGGAGUUUAUACGGGAGAUGCUACCACGAUGGCUGGAGACCGACAGGUCCUUCACGAUAGAGCGGGCCCAUCGUACCCUCGCCUCGCCGAAACCGAAUAUGGAUAGAGCAGUCAUUAUCCGUUUUCUGAACUUUCAAGAUCGGGAGUUCGUGUUUCGCUCCACAAAGCAGCACAACAUUACACACGAUGGAAACAAGCUCUUUUUUGUCCAGGACUUAUCAGCUGAGUCCGUUCGACAGAGAUCCGAAUUCAACACUGUCAAAAAAGUGUUCGCCGAAAAAGGAAUGUUCCGCGGGUUCCAGUACAACCCAUGCAAGAUGAGGAUCCUCCACAAUGGGAAAAUUCAGCUGUUAUCAGCUCCAAAGGAAGCAGAGGAGUUCCAUCGCAAGCACACCGGAGAUAACUAACGGAAUGCGGUGAGCUGUUCACUUUCUGGACCACACAACAAGCUGGCUUUAACCAUUAAACACUCCGUAAAUGUGUGGAUAUAAGAUGAGCCAAUAACUUGAGACUUUUUCAGUUAUACAUUUAUCUUACUAAUUCCGAGCAGCUAUGUAAUUUAAUUUGUAAAAGGCAUUCCUCUAUAAUGCUUUCAUGAAGCCAUUAUAAUCAUUUAAGUUCUUCUUCCUCUUCUCUGUUUUUGCAUUAAUGUUAUUCAUUUUUGUGAAAGUGUUAUUUUUUCCAAGACAUUUUGUGCGCCAGAAUGGACACUAUUAAGAGACACUGUUGCCAAAUAGCUUACUGGCUUAUCUAACCUGUCUACUGUUUGUUUGGGUUCAUAGAGUUUAAAAUAUGGUAUUGCGUGGUUGACGGAUACCACUGUGGCUUUUGAGGUCAGGUUCUUAUAGUUCUUAUAGUUCAACUACUCCCCUGUAGAGUGGAUUAGUAUAAGCCCCUGUUUACUGUUCUGAGUAAGGGUGGGGAUUUGGAGUCUUAUGGGCCAAUUACAGGUUUAUUUUUGUUUGUUGGUUUUUAAGAAUUUCUAUGUAUUUUAUGUUACUACAGCAUCAGCAAUGGGUCUUAGUACAUUUACAUCACAGAACAAAGCUACCACUUAUGGAACAAGUAAAUAUCCAGAACAUGUCUGAUAUAAAAAUUACAAGUUGGAAUGUCAGGGGACUCAGGAGAUUGAUUAAAUUGAAGCAAGUUAUAAACAGG
ensembl:lncRNA